CGUACUUGUCGACUAUGGUGCGACCGCAACCGGCGCAGAUCGUUUCCAAAAGGCCUGAUUCCGUUUUCACUGAUACUGAUGGCUCUGAAAUCAGCAAUUGAACUUUUUUUAUAAUAUUUUGGAUAAUGAACAUAUAUUAAGAUAUUGGUUGAAAAUCAUUUCAUCUCUUUUUAUAUAAGUUUAAUUAAAUUAAUCUUCAAAAGAAUUUAUAUUCCUUAAAUUAAUAUUAUAUAAUCAAUUCUACAAGAAAUUGAAUAUGAAUUUUUUUCUGGGAAUAUUUCAUCGCAAAAGAAAUAAAUACGCAGAAGUUAUGCCGAAUGAUAUGGCUGUCAGACUGAGAAAUGUGAUAGCAUUCUAGAACAGAGUAAUAUUGCGAGUCUCAUGAAAUUUGUUCCGUCGCUUAUCGAUUGUCGAUAGCGAUAAAGCUACAUUGGAGGAUAAAACACAUAAUAAUUUUCUGUUUAUGUGGUUAUUUUAGGUUAUACAAAGAGUUAUUUUAAUUAUAAUAUAUUUCAAUUAUAAGACAUUAAAAUAAACAAAAUACUAUAUUCUUGGACGAAAUGGAAUCGGAGGUGCAGCAGAUCCCAUAGUCGGCGGACCCGACUCACCCUGCCGGUUCAAGCUACCUGGUAGCGGAGGGUAGAAUUCCAACAUGGUUCCUUAUGCCCUCGAGCUCUCAAUUCCUCAGUCUCCCCACCACUUUUUCACUAUUUGCACUUCUCAAUAAUUUUUUCUCCUUUAAUUCUCUCCUGUUCUUUUUCAAUAAUCUUUAAAGAAUCAACUUUAAUUCCUGUGAUUCCUUUCAGGCCAUCAAAAAGUUCCAAGUUAUCAGAAUCCAAAUUCACAAAUAUCAAUGAAAUAACAACCUAUCCAAAUCUCGAUAUCAACCUUCACAUUUAUUCAAGUCUAAGGGUCCCUUUGGUCAUCAAGAUCCAAGUUCACAAUUUCAAUAAUACAAGUAUAACUUGUUCCAUACAUCUAUAUUCCACGUCUGUCCAAGUCUAAAAAUCUCUCUCUAGUCACCAAGAUCUAAAUUCACAAUUUCAAUAAUACAAAUGUAAUCUAUGCUUUUGUAGAUCUAUGCUUCGACUUCACGUCUGUUCAAGUGAAAAAGUCUUUCUUCAGUCACCAAGAUCCAAGUUAAUAAUUUCGAAGAAACAACAAGUAUAAUCUGUCCACCGUUUGUCGAAUACGAAGCUCAAGACACAAAUAGAAAUCCGAGUUCACAAAAUCGAGCGUCCUCGAGAUCGAGUCAUUCCCGAUCGUUCAACCCUCUCCCGUCCUUCGACGCGGUAACAAGUCUCAAGAAAGGAUCCCAUGGUCAACUCGAGCCAUCCUGACGGACUUCCAAGCCCAAUGAAAUUUCAAUCCUCCGUUUGAUACCAUCCUGACGCAAACUUUGUCUCUUUUUGAUUAUUCCGUACCACGAAGGGUUUUCGUUCCUGAGGUGCUGGGACAGUACUGGACGAUACGUGACAGUUGAUACGUGUCAGCGGCCCGAACUCUCAGGCUUUUUUGAUGCCAGCCACCGCAUCGACAGUGAAAAUCAUUCCCCACCCACCUGCGCCGCGAACGACGAUCGACUAGAGGGUGAGAAUCGAGGGCGGGACGUUGAAGGCUCGCUAAGGGAGACUAAAGCUGCGAUGUGAUUGGUUUGAAUUGGAACCGCCCCUUGAUGAAAGCUUGUGGAGAGGGUGAGUUGGUAAUCGCGGUGCUCAACUGGUUGCGCGAUGUUUCCGGAGAUCAAUAUCUCGCGACAGUGACGUAUAAUGUUGGUGAAGGACUUGGGAUUGUUACCUUGAAUUUGGAAUUGUUGAAGAUUUGUUGGUCAUGAAUGCUUAGAUUGAUGGAUUAUAUAAUGGAGAUUUAUGAUAUUAUAGAGUUAACGUUUAAUGCAUGCAAGUAUGAUGAAAGAAUUAAAUAUGAAUUAUUUUGGAUGAAGUCAGAAUUAAACAGGUGAGUGAAGAACUUGAGAUCACUUUGAAUUUGAAAUUGCUCAUUUAUUAAUGAAUGGUUAGUCUUAUUGAGAAUGUAGGAAAAAAAGAGUUUGAUCAAUAUUGAUUAAAUAUGCUAUAAAAAAAUAUUUAUAUUGAUAGAAAUUUGUGAUAAGUUUAUAAAAUGAUGAAAUUUAAGUAAAAUUUAUAAUUUGUUAAGUUUAAACAUUUUUUAAUCACUUAUGUACAUAAGUAAUUAAAUAUGUCAUAUCAGAUUA